rnacentral:lncRNA from 1 species
UUUUACUCUGUUCUUCAUUACUCAAUACGCAUCUUUCUCCUCUCCCCUAGAACCCUAACCAACCGACAGAAACCUCCACCCCAAUCGAAAACCCUAAUUACUAACCGGCGGCUACAAACCCUAAUCGGAGUGUAAGAGGAGGAUGUUGUUCUACCUUUUAAGUUGAGCUUGAACCGUCGGUCCACCUCCUCGGCGCCGCCGCACCACCAGUGGUUGAACACUCUUGUAUCGGGCUCUAGAGUUACUUCAGUCGCCAAUAUAUGGCUCUGCAGUUGAUUUAUGGGCAAUGGGCGCCAUCAUGGCUGAAUUAUUUACUCUUCGUCCUCUUUUCCCAGGUUCAUGGUAUAGUAUGA